GAUGAACGCUGGCGGCGUGCCUAAUACAUGCAAGUCGAACGCUGGAGAUCUAGCUUGCUAGAUCAAAGGAGUGGCGAACGGGUGAGUAAUACAUAAGCAACCUACCCACGAAGACUGGGAUAAUCUCUGGAAACGGGGACUAAUACCGGAUAGGUAAUCGGAAGGCAUCUUCUGGUUAUUAAAGGUUAAAAACACUGGUGGAUGGGCUUAUGGCGCAUUAGUUAGUUGGUGAGGUAACGGCCCACCAAGACGAUGAUGCGUAGCCGGCCUGAGAGGGUGAACGGCCACAUUGGGACUGAGACACGGCCCAGACUCCUACGGGAGGCAGCAGUAGGGAAUUUUCGGCAAUGGGGGCAACCCUGACCGAGCAACGCCGCGUGAGUGAAGACGGCCUUCGGGUUGUAAAGCUCUGUUGUAAGGGAAGAACGGUAGAUAGAGAAUAUCUAAGUGACGGUACCUUACCAGAAAGCCACGGCUAACUACGUG
rnacentral:rRNA from 1 species